rnacentral:rRNA from 1 species
GGCGAACGGGUGAGUAAUGCAUCGGAACGUACCUUUCAGUGGGGGAUAACGUAGCGAAAGUUACGCUAAUACCGCAUAUUCUGUGAGCAGGAAAGCAGGGGAUCGCAAAACCUUGCGCUGAUGGAGCGGCCGAUGUCAGAUUAGCUAGUUGGUGGGGUAAAGGCUCACCAAGGCGACGAUCUGUAGCGGGUCUUAGAGGAUGAUCCGCCACACUGGAACUGAGACACGGUCCAGACUCCUACGGGAGGCAGCAGUGGGGAAUUUUGGACAAUGGGCGCAAGCCUGAUCCAGCCAUGCCGCGUGAGUGAAGAAGGCCUUCGGGUUGUAAAGCCCUCUCGGCCGGGAAAAAAUCGCUUGGGUUAAUACCCUGAGUGGAUGAUGGUACCGGAAUAAGAAGCACCGGCUAACUACGUGCCAGCAGCCGCGGUAAUACGUAGGGUGCGAGCGUUAAUCGGAAUUACUGGGCGUAAAGCGUGCGCAGGCGGUUUUGUAAGACAGGCGUGAAAUCCCCGGGCUCAACCUGGGAACUGCGUUUGUGACUGCAAGGCUAGAGUAUGGCAGAGGGGGGUGGGAUUCCACGUGUAGCAGUGAAAUGCGUAGAGAUGUGGAGGAACACCAAUGGCGAAGGCAGCCCCCUGGGCCAAUACUGACGCUCAUGCACGAAAGCGUGGGGAGCAAACAGGAUUAGAUACCCUGGUAGUCCACGCCCUAAACGAUGUCAACUAGGUGUUGGGUGGGUAAAACCAUUUGGUACCGUAGCUAACGCGUGAAGUUGACCGCCUGGGGAGUACGGCCGCAAGGUUAAAACUCAAAGGAAUUGACGGGGACCCGCACAAGCGGUGGAUGAUGUGGAUUAAUUCGAUGCAACGCGAAAAACCUUACCUACCCCUGACAUGCCAGGAACUUGCCAGAGAUGGCUUGGUGCCCGAAAGGGAGCCUGGACACAGGUGCUGCAUGGCUGUCGUCAGCUCGCGUCGUGAGAUGUUGGGUUAAGUCCCGCAACGAGCGCAACCCUUGUCGUUAAUUGCCAUCAUUUAGUUGGGCACUUUAACGAGACUGCCGGUGACAAACCGGAGGAAGGUGGGGAUGACGUCAAGUCCUCAUGGCCCUUAUGGGUAGGGCUUCACACGUCAUACAAUGGUCGGUACAAAGGGUUGCCAAGCCGCGAGGCGGAGCCAAUCCCAGAAAGCCGAUCGUAGUCCGGAUCGCAGGCUGCAACUCGCCUGCGUGAAGUCGGAAUCGCUAGUAAUCGUGGAUCAGCAUGUCACGGUGAAUACGUUCCCGGGUCUUGUACACACCGCCCGUCACACCAUGGGAGCGGGUUCCGCCAGAAGUAGGUAGCCUAACCGCAGGGAGGGCGCUUACCACGGCGGGGUUCGUGACUGGGGUGAAGUCGG